rnacentral:rRNA from 1 species
AUUGAACGCUGGCGGCAGGCCUAACACAUGCAAGUCGAACGGUAACAGGAAACAGCUUGCUGUUUCGCUGACGAGUGGCGGACGGGUGAGUAAUGUCUGGGAAACUGCCUGAUGGAGGGGGAUAACUACUGGAAACGGUAGCUAAUACCGCAUACCGUCGCAAGACCAAAGAGGGGGACCCUCGGGCCUCUUGCCAUCGGAUGUGCCCAGAUGGGAUUAGCUUGUUGGUGGGGUAACGGCUCACCAAGGCGACGAUCCCUAGCUGGUCUGAGAGGAUGACCAGCCACACUGGAACUGAGACACGGUCCAGACUCCUACGGGAGGCAGCAGUGGGGAAUAUUGCACAAUGGGCGCAAGCCUGAUGCAGCCAUGCCGCGUGUAUGAAGAAGGCCUUCGGGUUGUAAAGUACUUUCAGCGGGGAGGAAGGGAGUAAAGUUAAUACCUUUGCUCAUUGACGUUACCCGCAGAAGAAGCACCGGCUAACUCCGUG